rnacentral:rRNA from 1 species
UACAGAGGUCCCAAGCGUUGUUCGGAUUCAUUGGGCGUAAAGGGCGCGUAGGCGGUCAGCACAAGUCAGUUGUGAAAUCUCCGGGCUUAACUCGGAAAGGUCAACUGAUACUGUGCGACUAGAGUGCAGAAGGGGCAACUGGAAUUCUCGGUGUAGCGGUGAAAUGCGUAGAUAUCGAGAGGAACACCUGCGGCGAAGGCGGGUUGCUGGGCUGACACUGACGCUGAGUGCGCGAAAGCCAGGGGAGGCGAACGGG